rnacentral:lncRNA from 1 species
ACAGAAUAGAAAAUACUAUAAAAAGAAAUAGAGAAGAGCAAAAAAUAUAAAGAAAAGAGAAUAAUGGGGUGUAAACGUAGAAGGAAUAACUGUGUGGACUUAAAGAAUUAAGAAAUAUUAUACUGAUUACUGAUAUGAACGAUAUACAGAAUGAAACAACAAUGUGUAUAAAGUACACGGAUGCCCCACUCACAUUAUCAUUUUCCAUAUUCAUUGGACCAUGAAAUUGGGUAAAAAAUCUAAUUUGGCUUUAAAAUCAAAAUUAGCUCCAAGAUGUAAAAUAUGCAGUAAAAUAUAUUUUGGCUUAAAUGUGUUUUUUGUUAAGGUUUGAGUUAAGAUAAAACAGAACAAUAAAAAAUUCAAACAAAAAAGGGGACAUAUAAUCCCC